rnacentral:rRNA from 1 species
AUUUGAGUCUGGGAUUUCUGAAUGGGGAAACCCACGUGCAUAAGCACGUAUCCUUACCUGAAUACAUAGGGUAAGGAGGCGAACCGGGGGAACUGAAACAUCUAAGUACCCCGAGGAAAAGAAAUCAACCGAGAUUCCGAAAGUAGCGGCGAGCGAAAUUGGACUAGCCCUUAAGCUUUACACGCGUUAGACGAACGGUCUGGAAAGUCCGACGAUACAGGGUGAUAGUCCCGUAGUUGACGACGUGUGUUCAGUGAAAUCGAGUAGGGCGGGACACGUGAUAUCCUGUCUGAAUAUGGGGGGACCAUCCUCCAAGGCUAAAUACUACUGACUGACCGAUAGUGAACCAGUACCGUGAGGGAAAGGCGAAAAGAACCCCUGUGAGGGGAGUGAAAUAGAACCUGAAACCGUGUACGUACAAGCAGUAGGAGCAGGCUUUGUCCUGUGACUGCGUACCUUUUGUAUAAUGGGUCAGCGACUUAUAUUCAGUGGCAAGGUUAACCAUCUAGGGGAGCCGUAGGGAAACCGAGUCUUAACUGGGCGUUCAGUCUCUGGAUAUAGACCCGAAACCAGGUGAUCUAGCCAUGGGCAGGUUGAAGGUUGAGUAACAUCAACUGGAGGACCGAACCGACUAAUGUUGAAAAAUUAGCGGAUGACUUGUGGCUAGGGGUGAAAGGCCAAUCAAACCUGGAGAUAGCUGGUUCUCCCCGAAAGCUAUUUAGGUAGCGCCUCGGACGAAUACUACUGGGGGUAGAGCACUGUUAAGGCUAGGGGGUCAUCCCGACUUACCAACCCUUUGCAAACUCCGAAUACCAGUAAGUACUAUCCGGGAGACACACGGCGGGUGCUAACGUCCGUCGUGGAGAGGGAAACAACCCAGACCGCCAGCUAAGGUCCCAAAUUACUACUAAGUGGGAAACGAUGUGGGAAGGCUCAGACAGCCAGGAUGUUGGCUUAGAAGCAGCCAUCAUUUAAAGAAAGCGUAAUAGCUCACUGGUCGAGUCGGCCUGCGCGGAAGAUGUAACGGGGCUAAGUAGUAAACCGAAGCUGCGGCAAUAUACUUUUGUAUAUUGGGUAGGGGAGCGUUCUGUAAGCGGUUGAAGGUGUGUGGUAACGCAUGCUGGACGUAUCAGAAGUGCGAAUGCUGACAUGAGUAACGAUAAAGGGGGUGAAAAACCUCCUCGCCGGAAGACCAAGGGUUCCUGUCCAACGUUAAUCGGGGCAGGGUAAGUCGACCCCUAAGGCGAGGCCGAAAGGCGUAGUCGAUGGGAAACGGGUUAAUAUUCCCGUACUUCUUACAAUUGCGAUGGGGGGACGGAGAAGGCUAGGUGGGCCUGGCGACGGUUGUCCAGGUUCAAGUGCGUAGGCUUAAGAGUUAGG